GAUUCGGUAGCUCAGUUGGUAGAGCAACGCACUUUUAAUGCGUGGGUCCAGGGUUCGAGCCCCUGCCGAAUCACCC
rnacentral:tRNA from 1 species